UCCCCGUCCCAUUUUUCACGGUUCAUAUUCCACGUUUAACCAUUCGUCUUAUUUAAAUUUUUUUUAUUAUUAGUAUUUCUAUUGUUAUUAAAUGAUAAAACAUAAAUAGUAUUUUAUGUGUGACUUUUUUUAAUAAAUUAUUUAAAUAAGACAGACGGUUAAAUGUUGGACACGAAUACCUAUGACUGUAUUUAUU
rfam:Oryza nivara chromosome 1, whole genome shotgun sequence.